GGGGUGCAGUGAGAGAGGUUAAAAAAAAAUAAAUCCUGUAGCACUUAAAAGUGUUGUUCUGCUAGAAUGUAUUCAUUGGAAGAGAAUACUUAUUGAAGAACAAGUGGAGAAAUUUUCACUAAUUCUGCUUUGGUCUAGAUCCAUGUUCCACUGGGAAGAGCAGGUGUUGGUAACUACAUAUGUUUUCAAGAAAUAUAUGCAAGAGCCAAGGAACAGCAAAGCAGAACUGUGGUGUUAAAGAUGGAGGCUGAAGAAUUUCCAAGAAAAUAAAAGAUUUAUUGAGAAGCUGUUCUCA
rnacentral:lncRNA from 1 species